CCCGAGAUGAGUUCUCCCUGAGACUUAGAGUCUCCUGAAGGAACGUUGAAGACGACGACGUUGAUAGGCCGGGUGUGUAAGCGCAGCGAUGCGUUGAGCUAACCGGUACUAAUGAACCGUGAGGCUUAACCUUAC
rnacentral:rRNA from 1 species